AUUGAACGCUGGCGGCAUGCCUUACACAUGCAAGUCGAACGGUAACGGGCCUUCGGGUGCCGCCGAGUGGCGAACGGGUGAGUAAUACAUCGGAACGUGCCCGAUCGUGGGGGAUAACGAGGCGAAAGCUUUGCUAAUACCGCAUACGAUCUACGGAUGAAAGCAGGGGGCCGCAAGGCCUUGCGCGGACGGAGCGGCCGAUGGCAGAUUAGGUAGUUGGUGGGAUAAAAGCUUACCAAGCCGACGAUCUGUGGCUGGUCUGAGAGGAUGAUCAGCCACACUGGGACUGAGACACGGCCCAGACUCCUACGGGAGGCAGCAGUGGGGAAUUUUGGACAAUGGGCGCAAGCCUGAUCCAGCCAUGCCGCGUGCAGGAUGAAGGCCUUCGGGUUGUAAACUGCUUUUGUACGGAACGAAAAGCCUUCUUUUAAUACAGGAGGGUCAUGACGGUACCGUAAGAAUAAGCACCGGCUAACUACGUG
rnacentral:rRNA from 1 species